rfam:Gossypium hirsutum cultivar TM-1 chromosome 7, whole genome shotgun sequence
AGCCGUGUGGUGAGCACAGAGCGAACUAUUCUUUCGCCUUUUACUAAAGAAUACCGUGUGCUCGCCACCCUAAGCUGCAUACGCCAAUUUUUGGAAGGGUACUUCUUGUUGAAUGCC